rnacentral:ncRNA from 2 species
CUCAUCCAGAGCGGUGGAGGGACUGGCCCUAUGAAGCCGCGGCAACCAUUGUCCAUGUGAGUGGACGAAACGGUGCUAAUUCCUGUAGGCUGUGCCUGAAAGAUGAGA